rnacentral:lncRNA from 1 species
CAAUAAACCAGCUACAAAGUCCCAAAACUUUUUGGCUGAUGAACCAAAUGAAGAUUCAUAGUCAGUAGGAACGUCUCAAAAUGUACUAUUGAUAACCUAUCAGCCACCCAAUUCAAAAUCGUAAAGUGCCUACUGUUAGGUUUGUAAUAUUCAUGAACGCAAUCAAAUUGCACAAAAUAAGCGAAAACGUAGAAAAUCAG